GUAGACUGUAGUAGCUCAGAAUCUCUUGCUAUUUGCGAACUGAAAUUAGCUCAGGUGGUUGGGUUUUUCCGGUGGAACCAGUCCAUCCAGGUUUAAGUCUUAGACUUGGCAUAGGUGUUUAUAUUUUUAGAUUUAUUUCAGACUUUAACCCACGUGUGUACUAUGUUUACAAAAAAAAAAAGAAUCUCUUGCUAUUUUCUGUGGAAAUGAAACCAAAGGACCGAAGGAAAACAGAAAACGGGAGAAAUGAAAUGUCUUCUCUUCAACACAAAUACCAUCUCUCCAAUAAGGUUAAGAAUACCAGGAGUCUCGUUGAUCAUGCCAGAUUUCUUCGCUAUGCCCCUUGCAUUCUGGUCCAAGGGCCAUUUCUCGGCUAGAGGUCCAUGGGCCAAGAGGCCAGUCUAGCAAACUUGUCACAGGAUUUUAUGGUUCGGUG
rnacentral:lncRNA from 1 species